GCCAUCAGUCUCCACAGCUGUAGUCCCAGCUACUCGGGAGGCUGAGGCAGGAGGAUCUCUUGAGUCCAGGAGUUCUGAGCUGUAGUGUGCUAUACUGAUUGGGUGUCCACACUAAAUUUGGCAUCAAUAUGGUGACCUCCCGGGAGUGGGGGACCUCCAGGUUGCCUAAGGAGGGGUGAACCAGCCCAGGUCGGAAUCGGAGCAGGUCAAAACUCCCAUGCUGAUCAGUAGUGCAUUCAUUUUUUAUUGGAUUCUAGGAAUUCUUAAAUUUCUUUUUUCUU
rfam:Mesocricetus auratus contig015491, whole genome shotgun sequence.